AGGACGAACGCUGGCGGCGUGCUUAACACAUGCAAGUCGAGCGGAAAGGCCCUUCGGGGUACUCGAGCGGCGAACGGGUGAGUAACACGUGAGUAAUCUGCCCCUAGCUCUGGGAUAGCUCCGGGAAACCGGGAUUAAUACCGGAUACGACUGCUACGGACAUCUGUGGUGGUGGAAAGAACUUCGGCUAGGGAUGAGCUCGCGGCCUAUCAGCUUGUUGGUGGGUAACGCCUACCAAGGCGACGACGGGUA
rnacentral:rRNA from 1 species